rnacentral:rRNA from 1 species
GCAUCAGGUAACAUCAAAUCGUACCCCAAACCGACACAGGUGGUCAGGUAGAGAAUACCAAGGCGCUUGAGAGAACUCGGGUGAAGGAACUAGGCAAAAUGGUGCCGUAACUUCGGGAGAAGGCACGCUGAUAUGUAGGUGAAGCGACUUGCUCGUGGAGCUGAAAUCAGUCGAAGAUACCAGCUGGCUGCAACUGUUUAUUAAAAACACAGCACUGUGCAAACACGAAAGUGGACGUAUACGGUGUGACGCCUGCCCGGUGCCGGAAGGUUAAUUGAUGGGGUUAGCGGCAACGCGAAGCUCUUGAUCGAAGCCCCGGUAAACGGCGGCCGUAACUAUAACGGUCCUAAGGUAGCGAAAUUCCUUGUCGGGUAAGUUCCGACCUGCACGAAUGGCGUAAUGAUGGCCAGGCUGUCUCCACCCGAGACUCAGUGAAAUUGAACUCGCUGUGAAGAUGCAGUGUACCCGCGGCAAGACGGAAAGACCCCGUGAACCUUUACUAUAGCUUGACACUGAACAUUGAGCCUUGAUGUGUAGGAUAGGUGGGAGGCUUUGAAGUGUGGACGCCAGUCUGCAUGGAGCCGACCUUGAAAUACCACCCUUUAAUGUUUGAUGUUCUAACGUUGGCCCGUAAUCCGGGUUGCGGACAGUGUCUGGUGGGUAGUUUGACUGGGGCGGUCUCCUCCUAAAGAGUAACGGAGGAGCACGAAGGUUGGCUAAUCCUGGUCGGACAUCAGGAGGUUAGUGCAAUGGCAUAAGCCAGCUUGACUGCGAGCGUGACGGCGCGAGCAGGUGCGAAAGCAGGUCAUAGUGAUCCGGUGGUUCUGAAUGGAAGGGCCAUCGCUCAACGGAUAAAAGGUACUCCGGGGAUAACAGGCUGAUACCGCCCAAGAGUUCAUAUCGACGGCGGUGUUUGGCACCUCGAUGUCGGCUCAUCACAUCCUGGGGCUGAAGUAGGUCCCAAGGGUAUGGCUGUUCGCCAUUUAAAGUGGUACGCGAGCUGGGUUUAGAACGUCGUGAGACAGUUCGGUCCCUAUCUGCCGUGGGCGCUGGAGAACUGAGGGGGGCUGCUCCUAGUACGAGAGGACCGGAGUGGACGCAUCACUGGUGUUCGGGUUGUCAUGCCAAUGGCACUGCCCGGUAGCUAAAUGCGGAAGAGAUAAGUGCUGAAAGCAUCUAAGCACGAAACUUGCCCCGAGAUGAGUUCUCCCUGACUCCUUGAGGGUCCUGAAGGAACGUUGAAGACGACGACGUUGAUAGGCCGGGUGUGUAAGCGCAGCGAUGCGUUGAGCUAACCGGUACUAAUGAACCGUGAGGCUUAACCUU